GCAAAAUGAUGUAAAAUUAUUAUUGAAUAACCGUGAUAUCGAAUCAUGAGCUUUUUAACACUGAUUGCU